rnacentral:rRNA from 1 species
GAUGAACGCUGGCGGCGUGCCUAAUACAUGCAAGUCGAGCGAAUGGAUUAAGAGCUUGCUCUUAUGAAGUUAGCGGCGGACGGGUGAGUAACACGUGGGUAACCUGCCCAUAAGACUGGGAUAACUCCGGGAAACCGCGGCUAAUACCGGAUAACAUUUUGAACCGCAUGGUUCGAAAUUGAAAGGCGGCUUCGGCUGUCACUUAUGGAUGUACCCGCGUCGCAUUAGCUAGUUGGUGAGGUAACGGCUCACCAAGGCAACGAGGCGUAGCCGACCUGAGAGGGUGAUCGGCCACACUGGGACUGAGACACGGCCCAGACUCCUACGGGAGGCAGCAGUAGGGAAUCUUCCGCAAUGGACGAAAGUCUGACGGAGCAACGCCGCGUGAGUGAUGAAGGCUUUCGGGUCGUAAAACUCUGUUGUUAGGGAAGAACAAGUGCUAGUUGAAUAAGCUGGCACCUUGACGGUACCUAACCAGAAAGCCACGGCUAACUACGUGCCAGCCGCCGCCGUAA